rnacentral:hammerhead_ribozyme from 1 species
UCAUUGCUGAAGAGUCCCACAAUAGGACGAAACGGCCGUCCAGUGC